AGCAUGCAUAACACGCUGGGAGAAAUCAAGGGGGGAGAACGUUGAAAACUCCAAACCCCUCAAUCAAAUAAUCAAAUUCCAAUAACUUUUGAUCCGGAACUCCGAUCGCCGCACCGUUUGCGACCACGCGUCCGCAGUGAUGAGCUCUACAAAGCCCGGUACCUUUCAAGGAUCAAAUUGACUUGAGGAAUUAGUGGGCUUUGGUUUGAUUGAGGCACAUACAAGGAACCAUAUGGCGACUCAUGGACGCGGUCGCGGGCGAGGCAGAGGUAGAUUAGGGACUGCUAAUCCCGAACUGACAGUAGUAGUAGUAGUAGUAAGCAUGAUUUUGGUCCUUAAGGUAUAAGCUGAAAUUUUUUUUUCUUUUUAACCUUUUCUUGCAUAUAAAAUCGUCCCUAAAAUUUAAAACAAUGUUUUAAAAUCGUCAUUUUUACUUAAAUAUUAAAAUUUUGGGCCAAAUUAUCCAUAACAAAAAAAUUAUAAAAUAAACAAAAAAAGAAAAAAUAAGACAAAGAGAGUUUUUCUGCUCUUGCAAAGAGGAAGGGAAGAAGAAGAAUAAGAAGUUGUCCACGAUUCACUCUGUCUCCACUUCUGUCGCUACCUUCGUACGAUUUUGGUCCCUAAAAGUAAGGACGAUUUGAAACUAAGUUAAAUCUUAGGGACGAUUUUGUAUGCAAAAAAGGUUGUGGACGAAAAAAACUUUUAGCCUAUAUCUUAGAGACCAAAAUAGUACAUAACCCUUAUCAGGGGCGGAGCCACAUAUAAUAAAAGGGGGGCAAUGGCCCCUCCCAAACUUCAAAUUUUCUUUAUAAAUUGUAUACAAAUUUUAUUUUAGCCCCCCUUAAAAAUUUUAUUUUA